rnacentral:rRNA from 1 species
GCAUGCUGGAGGUAUCAGAAGUGCGAAUGCUGACAUAAGUAACGAUAAAGCGGGUGAAAAGCCCGCUCGCCGGAAGACCAAGGGUUCCUGUCCAACGUUAAUCGGGGCAGGGUGAGUCGACCCCUAAGGCGAGGCCGAAAGGCGUAGUCGAUGGGAAACAGGUUAAUAUUCCUGUACUUGGUGUUACUGCGAAGGGGGGACGGAGAAGGCUAUGUUGGCCGGGCGACGGUUGUCCCGGUUUAAGCGUGUAGGCUGGUUUUCCAGGCAAAUCCGGAAAAUCAAGGCUGAGGCGUGAUGACGAGGCACUGCGGUGCUGAAGCAACAAAUGCCCUGCUUCCAGGAAAAGCCUCUAAGCAUCAGGUAACAUCAAAUCGUACCCCAAACCGACACAGGUGGUCAGGUAGAGAAUACCAAGGCGCUUGAGAGAACUCGGGUGAAGGAACUAGGCAAAAUGGUGCCGUAACUUCGGGAGAAGGCACGCUGAUAUGUAGGUGAAGUCCCUCGCGGAUGGAGCUGAAAUCAGUCGAAGAUACCAGCUGGCUGCAACUGUUUAUUAAAAACACAGCACUGUGCAAACACGAAAGUGGACGUAUACGGUGUGACGCCUGCCCGGUGCCGGAAGGUUAAUUGAUGGGGUUAGCGCAAGCGAAGCUCUUGAUCGAAGCCCCGGUAAACGGCGGCCGUAACUAUAACGGUCCUAAGGUAGCGAAAUUCCUUGUCGGGUAAGUUCCGACCUGCACGAAUGGCGUAAUGAUGGCCAGGCUGUCUCCACCCGAGACUCAGUGAAAUUGAACUCGCUGUGAAGAUGCAGUGUACCCGCGGCAAGACGGAAAGACCCCGUGAACCUUUACUAUAGCUUGACACUGAACAUUGAGCCUUGAUGUGUAGGAUAGGUGGGAGGCUUUGAAGUGUGGACGCCAGUCUGCAUGGAGCCGACCUUGAAAUACCACCCUUUAAUGUUUGAUGUUCUAACGUUGACCCGUAAUCCGGGUUGCGGACAGUGUCUGGUGGGUAGUUUGACUGGGGCGGUCUCCUCCUAAAGAGUAACGGAGGAGCACGAAGGUUGGCUAAUCCUGGUCGGACAUCAGGAGGUUAGUGCAAUGGCAUAAGCCAGCUUGACUGCGAGCGUGACGGCGCGAGCAGGUGCGAAAGCAGGUCAUAGUGAUCCGGUGGUUCUGAAUGGAAGGGCCAUCGCUCAACGGAUAAAAGGUACUCCGGGGAUAACAGGCUGAUACCGCCCAAGAGUUCAUAUCGACGGCGGUGUUUGGCACCUCGAUGUCGGCUCAUCACAUCCUGGGGCUGAAGUAGGUCCCAAGGGUAUGGCUGUUCGCCAUUUAAAGUGGUACGCGAGCUGGGUUUAGAACGUCGUGAGACAGUUCGGUCCCUAUCUGCCGUGGGCGCUGGAGAACUGAGGGGGGCUGCUCCUAGUACGAGAGGACCGGAGUGGACGCAUCACUGGUGUUCGGGUUGUCAUGCCAAUGGCACUGCCCGGUAGCUAAAUGCGGAAGAGAUAAGUGCUGAAAGCAUCUAAGCACGAAACUUGCC